AGCCUGAACGCUGGCGGCGUGGCUAAGACAUGCAAGUCGUACGGGCGUAGCAAUACGUCAGUGGCGAACGGGUGAGUAAAGUAUCGCUAACGUACCCCUCAGUCUGGGAUAGCCGGGGGGAAACUCCGGGUAAUACCAGGUGACAUUCUCUGCCUGCAUGGGCGGAGACUCAAAGGGAAACCGUUGAGGGAGCGGGCGAUAUCGUAUCAGCUAGUUGGUGAGGUAACGGCUCACCAAGGCGACGACGCGUAGCCGGGCUGAGAGGUCGGCCGGCCACAUUGGGACUGAGACACUGCCCAGACUCCUACGGGGGGCUGCAGUAACGAAUCUUCCGCAAUGCACGCAAGUGUGACGGAGCGACGCCGCGUGUGGGACGAAGUCCUCGGGAUGUAAACCACUGUCAGGGGUAAGAAGUUCUGAUCUACCCAGAGGAAGGCACGGCUAACUCUGCGCCAGCAGCCGC
rnacentral:rRNA from 1 species